rnacentral:rRNA from 1 species
CCUACGGGGGGCAGCAGUGGGGGAUAUUGCACAAUGGGGGAAACCCUGAUGCAGCGACGCCGCGUGUGGGAAGACGGUCCUCUGGAUUGUAAACCACUGUCCCCAGGGACGAAAAUGACGGUACCGGGGGAGGAAGCUCCGGCUAACUACGUGCCAGCAGCCGCGGUAAGACGUAGGGGGCGAGUGUUUUCCGGAAUUACGGGGUGUAAAGGGAGCGUAGGGGGGGAUGCAAGUUGGGUGUCAAAACUACCGGAUCAACUGGUAGUCGCACUCAAAACUGCAGCUCUUGAGUGAAGUAGAGGCAGGCGGAAUUCCUAGUGUAGCGGUGAAAUGCGUAGAUAUUAGGAGGAACACCAGUGGCGAAGGCGGCCUGCUGGGCUUUUACUGACGCUGAGGCUCGAAAGUGUGGGGAGCAAACAGGAUUAGAUACCCGAGUAGUC